AGCGAACGCUGGCGGCAGGCCUAACACAUGCAAGUCGAACGACCCCUCCGGGGUUAGUGGCGGACGGGUGAGUAACACGUGGGAACGUGCCUUUAGGCUCGGAAUAACACAGGGAAACUUGUGCUAAUAUCGAAUGUGUUACUCGGGGGAAAGAUUCAUCGUCCUUAGAGCGGCCCGCGUCUGUUUAGCCAGUUGGUUGAGGUAAUGGCUCACCAAGGCGACGUUCAGUAGCUGGUCUGAGAGGAUGAGCAGCCACAUUGGGACUGAGACACGGCCCAAACUCCUACAGGAGGCAGCAGUGGGGGAUCUUGCGCAAUGGGCGAAAGCCAGACGCAGCCAUGCCGCGUGAGUGAUGAAGGUCUUAGGAUUGUGAAAUACUUUCACCGGGGACGGUAAUGACGGUACCCGAAGAAGAAGCCCCGGCUAACUUCGUG
rnacentral:rRNA from 1 species